rnacentral:lncRNA from 1 species
CGCGCUCUCAUCUCUUCCUCUCCGGGAAAAGCUCCCCGCGGCCUCUCAAGUCCUCAAAUGGACCACAAGGCUCUGGUGCCCGAGGGGAGGAGGAAGGCGACGGUGUCCCCGAGAGCCGGUCGCCGACGCGCGCUCUCACCAGCUCGGCUCGCAGCCCGGGCAGGGCGCUCUAGACGCUCGGGUCUCUGCUCCUCCUGCGCCUCCGCUUCCGCCUCCGCCGGGGGGCGCCGGGAGCCUCCUCGCGGCACAGCCAGCUGGAAGACGCCCGCCAGCCGCCGCCUGAGGUCUUCCGGCAGCCGGCAUGGGGGCGACGGGGGCCUCCUCCUGGCCGUCCGUGCGCUUACUGCCCCCGGGGGAGCCGCGCGUCGGGCAAGGGCCUCGGGGCCAAAGCACAACACUGACUGGGACUCCGUGGGGUCCCCGGGAAGUCGCUUCUCUGCGGCUGCCGGAGUCCCCGGGGCCCAUUCCAGAGGCGGCGGGGCCCAUUCCAGCGGCAGUCGGAGGAGGUGGUUCCCCGUAACUCCGCGAAGAGGUUGCAACUGGAUCACUUCUUGCUCCUUGGAGUGUCUAAGAGGAAGACUUGUAUCUCUCCAGAUCAUUUACUUCAACAAGAACUUCAGUGUCUUAGGGCAGGCAGCUCCUUCAUCCUGGGUCCUGAAAUGAAGAUAGCAUCAAGCAGAGUGGAAGCUGGCCUGUCAUGAAUAUAUAGCUUGAUUGAUAAAUAAACAUAUGUAGUAAUUCA